rnacentral:rRNA from 1 species
GACGAACGCUGGCGGCGUGCUUAACACAUGCCAGUCGGACGGAAAGGCCCUGCUUUUGUGGGGUGCUCGAGUGGCGAACGGGUGAGUGACACGUGAGUAACCUGCCCUUGACUUUGGGAUAACUUCAGGAAACUGGGGCUAAUGCCGGAUAGGAGCUCCUGCUGCAUGGUGGGGGUUGGAAAGUUUCGGCGGUUGGGGAUGGACUCGCGGCUUAUCAGCUUGUUGGUGGGGUAGUGGCUUACCAAGGCUUUGACGGGUAGCCGGCCUGAGAGGGUGACCGGCCACAUUGGGACUGAGAUACGGCCCAGACUCCUACGGGAGGCAGCAGUGGGGAAUAUUGCACAAUGGGCGGAAGCCUGAUGCAGCAACGCCGCGUGCGGGAUGACGGCCUUCGGGUUGUAAACCGCUUUCGCCUGUGACGAAGCGUGAGUGACGGUAAUGGGUAAAGAAGCACCGGCUAACUACGUG